rnacentral:rRNA from 1 species
UGGGGAAUUUUGGACAAUGGGGGAAACCCUGAUCCAGCCAUCCCGCGUGUGCGAUGAAGGCCUUCGGGUUGUAAAGCACUUUUGGCAGGAAAGAAACGUCAUGGGUUAAUACCCCGUGAAACUGACGGUACCUGCAGAAUAAGCACCGGCUAACUACGUGCCAGCAGCCGCGGUAAUACGUAGGGUGCAAGCGUUAAUCGGAAUUACUGGGCGUAAAGCGUGCGCAGGCGGUUCGGAAAGAAAGAUGUGAAAUCCCAGAGCCCAACUUUGGAACUGCAUUUUUAACUACCGGGCUAGAGUGUGUCAGAGGGAGGUGGAAUUCCGCGUGUAGCAGUGAAAUGCGUAGAUAUGCGGAGGAACACCGAUGGCGAAGGCAGCCUCCUGGAAUAACACUGACGCUCAUGCACGAAAGCGUGGGGAGCAAACAGG